ensembl:lncRNA
CUGAACCAUGGAUCAAAUGCACAAUUCCAUACGUUACGUCUGUGCUUGAAAAUGCUGGCACUGGGUAACAAACUCUGAGAAAUGCACUAUCUGUCGUCUUCCACAUACGUGAGCUCACAGAGGGCUGUGAUUGGCUAGUGAUUGAAAGAGGAGAGAAAGUUCGGGAAAGUACUGCACUUAUAGAGCAGGGACUGGAGCUCUAAAUACUGUACCAAUCCAUGUCUUCAGAAAACCUGCAAGUCUCCGUUAGCCUAUCUGCAGCAGAGAGAACGAGAUGGAAAAGUUGGAAAGAAGAAGAGACAAAAAGAAGGAGAGACUGAGAUAAGGAGGGUGAACCCCGCCUUGUGCUCAAUGUUCCUUGGGAUAGGCUCCAGGUUUCCCCGUGACCCUGAAAAGGAUAAGCGGUAUAGAGGAUGGGUGGAUGGAUGGAAAAAUUUAAUCCCCCUUGACACCCCCCUCC